rnacentral:rRNA from 1 species
AGUGAACGCUGGCGGUAGGCCUAACACAUGCAAGUCGAGCGGCAGCAGAGAAAUUGCUCCUGGAUACAGCGGCCGACGGGCGGGUAAUGCCUAGGAACCUGGCUGGUAGCGGUGGAUAACGUGCGGACACGGGGGAUCAUACCGCAUAAGUCCUUAGGGCGAAAGGGGGGGAUCUUCGGACCUCCGGACAUCAGAUGAGCCGAGGACGGAUUAGCUAGUUGGUGGGGUAAAGGCCUACCAAGGCGACGAUCCGUAGCUGGUCUGAGAGGAUGAUCAGCCACACUGGAACUGAGACACGGUCCAGACUCCUACGGGAGGCAGCAGUGGGGAAUAUUGGACAAUGGGCGAAAGCCUGAUCCAGCCAUGCCGCGUGGGUGAAGAAGGUCUUCGGGUUGUAAAGCCCUUUUGGUGGGGAAGAAGAGCAGUAAGUUAAUACCUUGCUGUUUUGACGGUACCAACAGAAUAAGCACCGGCUAACUUCGUG